UCCAGGCCCAGGAGAUUCUGUGGUUUCUGGGAGAGAGAGUCCUUUUCCACCUGCCUCCGCUAACACAGACUACUGGAACAGGGAGUUGGUGUUUUUCCACAGUCAACUGAGGACAGAACUCAGCCAAGCAAUUGAGUCUAUGACUCAGUCAGACAGAGGCACGGCUGACAAUAUAGGACUGCUUCACUGUCACCCAGUCACAGAUGGCCAGACUGAAGGAAAGGAGCAGCUAUGUUAUGAGGUGAGCAGAGACAAGUAAGCAUCCCA
rnacentral:lncRNA from 12 species